rnacentral:rRNA from 1 species
CAGCUAGUUGGCGGGGUAACGGCCCACCAAGGCUUAGAUCGGUAGCCGGCCUGAGAGGGCGCACGGCCACACUGGAACUGAAACACGGUCCAGACUCCUACGGGAGGCAGCAGUGGGGAAUUUUGCGCAAUGGGGGAAACCCUGACGCAGCAACGCCGCGUGGAGGAUGAAGUCCCUUGGGACGUAAACUCCUUUCGACCCGGACGAUAAUGACGGUACGGGUGGAAGAAGCCCCGGCUAACUUCGUGCCAGCAGCCGCGGUAAUACGAGGGGGGCAAGCGUUGUUCGGAAUUAUUGGGCGUAAAGGGCGCGUAGGCGGUGCGGUAAGUCACCUGUGAAACCUCUAGGCUCAACCUAGAGCCUGCAGGCGAAACUGCCGUGCUUGAGGGUGGGAGAGGUGCGUGGAAUUCCCGGUGUAGCGGUGAAAUGCGUAGAUAUCCGGAGGAACACCUGUGGCGAAAGCGGCGCA